AAACGACCCUCUCCGCUGCCAUGAGAUGCCGACAGCCUGUGUGCUGGCCGCCACCCCCCGCUCCAUCAGGUGCUGGAAUCUGAGUAAAAGCCUGGGCGCGAUCUCCCAGCCCCGGGGCCCGCCACGGGCUCCACGAAGCGGGCAGCUCCAGCGGCCGCCGGGAGAAGGAAGGGCGGCCGGGGGAAGACGGGUCGCAGGGACAGCACGUAGAGGAAAGUUAGCCCCGGACUAGCACGCCCCACCCGGAGAAGCCGGCCUGGAAGGGGCUGCGGACCACCAGGCGGAGCGGUGGGCGACCGAAGUGCGGCUGGGCUGGCCUCCACGUCUCCGCACUGGAAGAAUUGCCCUUCCGCAAGUCUUCCCUUCCCACGUGGGGGCCCUCCAGGCCGCACCUCGGUCGCCCACCGCUCCCCUUGAGAAGGGAGACUAAAGACAGGCAUCUGGAAGCUGUCACUGUGGCGCGCGGGCGGACAGGGGAUCCCAUUGGAGAGGAAGAGCCGUAGUAGUCGCUGCUGCCUUCGGCCGACCCGACCGCCGCCUGCUUGGGAGGAAGAAAAAGAACGCCCCCGCUGAAGAAUUAAGGCAGCCAUUGGUUGCUCUAGAGCGUAAGGACCGAGGCCUCCCCUGGGUGUCACUGGAGCGGCCACACGUGGGGGAUCAGCCGACUUCAUUCGAUCGCUGGCGACAGACCCGGCGACCCGUAGGAAUGCGCGCUGGGGCUGCGGCUGGAGGGCGCGGCGACGGCAACAGGCGGGUGGCUCGAGUGGGUGCGACUCUGGGCGCGUGGGACUGGGAACUCCUCCGCCGUGGGGAAGAUUUUUUUCCCAGCAGAUGUUGGGGUGCUACUGCGUGUCUGAGGGGCCGGCGGAAUGGCGGCGUCCCGGUGCGUGCGGGGCAGCGAGGUGUGUCAGAUGAGCUGUGGAUCCCUGCGGCCCCUCGUGGGCCGGAGAGGGUGGCCCACGACAACAAGCGAUUGAGGACAGCGAUGGACAGGGCGGGGAACCAGCUGGGUGGAAGCACAGGGAAAGUGUGGUGAGGAGGGAAGGGCUGUGAUCUGCCCUCGGUACGACGCCCCCAGGGACAGCCUGGCCUCCUGAAUUAGGGAAAAGACAAACCGUCUCUUUAGACUGGGGCGCCUCAGAGUCUAACCUGAGUCUUCAAACGACCAGAUCCCCUGGGGCCUUGAGUCUUCCUGUCCCGCUGGCCCUGCCUCACUUGCUCCUCAAGACUCCGACGCCCCCGCAGCCUUGGGCUAAGGGUCAGUCGUCCCCGGGCGCGGGUCCGGCUGCCGUGGAACUGAUGCUGGGUUGCGCCGGUAGGUGGGCGAGGGGCUUGGUCACCCCGUCUGAAUUCCACUGUCAGGACAGCUGUGGAACCGCCAGAGAAAAGUCCGGCCAUGAAAGAAAGGAGGAUCAGACAGAAGCAGCACUGCCCAUGGACCAGAGGCCUCAUGUAAGGCCUGGGAAGAGAGGGCUCCACACACCGCCAACCAGAUGUAAGGGCAGUUGCAAAGGAACUGUGUGUUAUCUUGACCAGAACAGACUAGAAUUUGUUUAUCAAAUUUUUAUUUUUUACUUAUUUAUUUUGUGAAUGUAUAUGCUGUAAACUCAUCUGCUUAGAUUGUAAGAAUGUGAAUGCCUUACCUUGGUGGGUAGGUUAGUUUAUUCUAAUCAGCAAAACUUAACGUUACAUAUUCCAACAUCUCAUUUGGGAUGUGAGGAUGCUAUGGGAAGGGUGGGUAUUCUGGCAUUGCUAGAAUGUUGGAGCCUUAGUGAGAGAGCGGCAAAGUGGGGAGAACCUGACACUUCAGCUACAGAUGAUCACUUAUUAGCUUUGUUAUAUCAAAUAAGUUAAACUUUCUUCAUCUCAUUUUUUUUUCUACUGUAAAAUAGGGUAGUAACAGUGAGUCCUGGUGGAGGACAUGUUGUGUUAGCCAGAUCCACUCUCCAACCUGCUGUCUGUCCUUUGGAGCCUUAACUCAAGAGACUUUCUUUCCCUCUAGCUUCCAGUUGAGUGAAGGCACUGGGAAGCAACAGCGAUGGAACAAAGAGGAAGGAGUAUGGUUAUUUAUUCCCCCCGGCUCCCUUGCUAUGGUACCAUUGCAGGCUGGCUGCAUCCCUCAACCAAAGGAAGCAGCCAGUAUCCCUCCCUAGAGUGACCCAGAGUAAACCCCUAUGGUUUCCCUUCAUUUUGCACAUACCUUUGCAAAUAGUCUUUUUAUAAAACUAUACUCACAUUAUCCAGUAGGAAUGUAACAUCUCAUUCCUUCACAGAAUUGUUUUGAGAGUUAACUGAGAAAAUACUGUAUUAUUAUUAUUAGAAUGACCGACAAUUUCUGUCCAAACUGAGAAACUUUUGAGACUGGAAAAAGGGGGUUUGUGCUGAUAGUAACGAUGCCAGGACAAUAGGAAAAACAAGGACUUAUGGCCACCCCAGCUAUUAUUGCCAGUAAACUCUGCUUUAGACAUAUUAAGCAAUCAGGAAGUGGUCGUACUAUCACGCUUCUGUCACUAGACUAUGAAUGUCUCAAGGUAAGAAGUGCUUUUUUGUCUAUUAGCUUCUGUCACAUGGUCUGGUAUAUUCAAUAAAUUUUGAGUUGGAGAUGAGGGUAAAGACUAGGAAAUGAAUAAUUUUUAUUGCCAUACUAACAUAAUGAAGAGUCAAGGAGGUCUUUAAGCAAAGAAAAUUUGCAUUUUAGAAAACAGCUAUAGUGAAUAUUUGACAUUGUUAGUAAUGUAGGGUCUAUUCCCUUUUUAAUGGAACCCCAAUUUAUUUGGAGAGCUUUUCCAAUGAAUGUUUCAACUUGGUGAAAAGUAAAUGCCUCUUAAAAAAGAGGUUCUGGGCCAGGUGUACUGGUUCAUGCCUUGUUAAUCUCAGCACUUUGGGAGGCCAAGGCGGGCAGAUCACCUGAGGUCAAGAGUUGGAGACCAGCCUGGCCAACAUGGCGAAACCCCAUCUCUACUAAAAAUACAAAAAUUAGUGGGAUGUGCUGGUGCAUGCCUGUAAUCCCAACUACUUGGGAGGCUGAGGCAGGAGAAUAGCUUGAACUCACAAGGUGGAGGUUGCAGUGAGCCGAGAUCACACCAGUACACUUCAGCCUGGUUGACACAGCCAGACUCCAUCUCAAACCAAAACAAAAAAAAGAGGUUCCUCGCCGGCUGUGGUAGCAUAGUAUAGUCCCAGUUACUCAAGAGGCUGAGGCAGGAAGAUCACUUAAAGCCAGGAGUUUAAGGCUGUAGUGCGUUAUGUUCCAGCCUGUGAACAGUCACUGUAUUCCAACCUGGGCAACAUAGCAAGAUCUCAUGUCCAAAAAAAUUAAUUUAAUUUAUUUUCAAUAAGAGGCUCCUGAAGAGACUUUCCAUCACACCCUUCCUUUCAUCAGCACAGUACAUACACUCUUAAGAAAGUAUGUGAUCUAAGCCUGGCCAAUUAGAUGCUGUUACAUUUGAAUCUUGAAUCAAGUGACACAAAGACAAUACAAAUUGUUACAGUUUAUGCAGGCCAUAAAUUAUUUUUUACUUUUUGGCAAAUUGUUACAGUUUAUGGGGUCUAUAAUUUAUUUUUUUAUUUUCUGGCUUAAGUUAUCUAGGAUUUGUUUCUGUGGUUUACAAUGAAAGAACCCAAAGACCAGAUCACUCUUGACUACCAUAAAAAUGAUUAAUUAUAAAGGGAUACGAGAAAAACAGGAGGCUGGGCACAGUGUCUCACGGCUGUAAUCCCAGCACUUUGGGAGGCCAAGGUGGGUGGAUCACUUGAGGUCAGAAGUUCAAGACCAGCCUGGCCAACAUGGUGAAACCCCAUCUCUACUAAAAAUACAAAAGUUAGCCGGGCGUGGUGGCAGGUGCCUGUAAUCCCAGCUACUUGGGAGGCUGAAGCACGAGAAUCACUUGAACCGGGGAGGCAGAGGUUACAGUGAGCCGAGAUCGCACUGCUGCACUCCAGCCUGGGCAAUAGAGCAAGACUGAGUCUCAAAACAACAACAACAACAAACAAAAGCACACACACAAAACAGGGGAUAAGUUAGCUAUUGCCACUUUAAUUUUGGAUGGUUUAACUGACUGUCCUGAACUGACUGAUCCUGAACUCCUUCUGCAACACAAUAUGUAAAAAUGUUCAUUAAAACAUUGUAAAACACAUCUACAUUUGAGAGGAAAAUGUAAAACUCUCUAUUCACAGAUAACACAAAUAUACAGAAAAUCCUAAGGAAUCCACUAAAAAAUCACUAGAAGUAAUAAAUGAACUCAGCAAGUUUACAAGAUACAGGAUCCACUGAGAUUCUGAUAAACAUGGACAGGCAAAAACAUUGAAACCGUCAUUUAUAAACUCACAUAGGCUCCGGUGAUUAUCUCUUCUUUUCUUUGUUAAAAAAAUGCAUUUAAAAAUCAUUCUAGAAAAUCGUUAGGCAAUGUUAAAUUUACCAAUAACUCUCUGACUUUUCUUUGCCCCUACCACUUUUUAUUCUCUUUGAAAAUCAAGACAAUAUUUGCCCUUCUUCAGUCUUUUGACAUUUCUUAUUUUUCUCUGGCUUCUGGAAAGUGAGUACUUACCUUUACGAUCACUUAUGAAAUCUCUUGCAUGGGUAAUUCAUUUAGGCCUAGAAACUCAUUUAAAGCAAUUGAUUGCUUGCUUACCAUGCUGGAUUUUAGUAGCCUUUAAAUCAUGUUUAUUCUACCUUUUUUCAUUAAAACAUUAGUCUCUUUGGGAGAGUAAACAAAUAAAUUAAAACUUGAGUUUUACCUUUUCUUUUUCAUCUGAUAGCAUUAUGUCAUCAGCACCAAGCAGUAGCUUCCAUCCUUUCUUAUUCACCGUCUUGUGGCAAGUAUUAUUUGAAAAACAAAAAAUAAAUUUAAAAAAAUGUCUUGGUAUUCUUUUUAAAGGCAAAAAUUAUCUAAGCCUGCAGGGACAUUUCCAUUCCUAUAGGCUGCGGUACUCUUUAAAGCACGCUCUUUAAAAAAUCUGAUUGCAAUAAGUACAUCCUGUGAAGUGACAUGCUCCUUAGAGUAAGAUGACUUGGCUUGCUGGCCACUCUGUUUGGCAGCCAGCCCUGGAGCUGGGUCAGUUUCCCCUGGCUCUGGCAUCGUUCCUUCUCAGAUCAUUCCUUUCUCCCUGUGGCCAGUCAUUGUGGUGACAGCUAUUAUUCUUUUUCAUGAGCCUAGAAAAUGUAUGUGGUGGAUGUCCCUCUGAAUACUAUAUACUGCCACUGAAUUAGAAGAGAAUCAUAUGCACUUGUAUAUUCUGACAGCCAUGUCACUUACACCUUCUCACCUUUUGUCUCAUCCUAUUUGCUAUCUACCAUUCUACCACUGUCCAUUUCUACCAGCUGAAUAACUCUCUGAUGCAGGGGUUACUCUGCACCCUCAUCUCCCUUACUGUAGACUUGUUCCUUUUGAAUGAGGUAAAAUUUCCUUGACUUAUAAUAUUUCAGUCAUAAUUUCCUUGCUACCUCAUGUACCAAUACCUAUUGGAUUAUGUUCAUUUUGUUAAUUUUCCCAAGUUCAAUUUGCUUUGCCACUAAUUCUCUCUUUCCAGGCUGAGAUUUCAAAAGUCAUCAGCAUUGUAUUUCACCUUACUUCUGUCUGUUUUAUUUAGUCCCAUCUGAAGCAGCAGAAGUGGCUGUAGGUUGGCUGGUAUCAUGAAUUUUGGCAGAUUAUGCUUCAUGAGUCAUCAUUCCACAAUUUAGGAAGAUAACGAACUAGCCAUUGCAAGGCUGCCUUCCUACUCAUCAGUAGAGAAAACAUGGGCUUCGGAGUUAGGACACUUGCCUUCAUGUUCCUACACUGCCAAACAUCAUGAGCUAUGCAAAAUUUUUAAGUUGAUGUAUAUGGGUAUAGGCGAAGCUGCUGUAAUGGGAAUAUCCCAAGAGUCAUUGGUUAAAGAAAAAUAGAUGGUUUUUUUGUUUGUUUGUUUUUGAGACAGUCUUGCCCUGUCACCCAGGCUGGAGUGCAGUGGCGCGAUCUCAGCUCAUUGUAAACGCGACCUCCUGUGUUCAAGUGAUUCUCCUGCCCUGGGCUCCCAAAUAGCUGGGACUACAGGUGCAAGCCACCAUGCACAGCUAAUUUUUGUGUAUUUUUAGUAGAGAUGAGAUUUCACCAUGUUGACCAGACUGGUCUCGAACUCCUGACCUCAGGUGAUCUGCCUGCCUCGGCCUCCCAAAGUGCUGGGAUUACACUGCACCCAGCCUAGAUGUUUAUUUCCAAUUGUUACCUUAUCUACUCUGAUCAAAACAGUCUCACCAGCACCAUAUCCACAUUCUACCCCAUGGAAAGGGUGAAGAAAAGAAAGUAGAAAAUACUAGUUUCCAUUUAAGGAAGUGACAUGGAAAUAACAUAAGUCACUUGUGUUCACAUUCCACUGGCAAAAACUCAGUCACAGGAAUGUACUUAGCUGCAGGGGAGGCUAGAAUAUGCCCUCCAAAAACUCAGGGGGGACAUCCUACUUGUAAAAGGAAGAAAUGAAAAAUGGACACUGAGAGGAAAUCAGCAGUCUCAGAGGUAAUAUACUUACACAGUUUUUUAAAAAACAUAAAAUGAUGCAGAAUGAAGUUUCCACUCUGUUCACCAUCUAUCCAGUCCUCAUGCCUCCCAACAAGAGGUAAAUAAUUUAUUAUUGUCUCAUGUAUCUUUCCAGAGUUUUUCUAAGCAACUUGCAACAGAUAUAAAUAUGUAUCCUUAUUUCCUACCUUACCCCAUAUUGUACAUGAAAGAAAAAAUAUACUAUGUAUAACAUUCUGUAUCUUUUUUUUACUUAAUAUAUUUUGCAGUUCCUUUUAUAUAGAUACAUAGUUAUCUUCUUCAUUUAUACAGCUGCCUACUGUUUCUAAGGCUGUAUCACUGAUAAAGUCUCAUGGAUAAACUCAAGGUUUUUUCAAUCUUUUAUCAUGAUAAACCAUGCGCAAUAAUAACCUUGUACUAGUCAUUUUGAACAUGUGAAAGUAUAUCUGCAAGAUACAUUUCCAGAAAUGGGAUUAGCCAAUCAUAUGAUAUUAAGCCAACCUUUUGAUCUCUUUGAGCUGCAUUUUUUAACUAAUAAAUUAAGCUCAUAUUUACCUCAGGAUCAUUAUUAUAAUGAAAUAACCAUAUAAACAAUUAUUAUACAACAAUAUCAAAAACAAAAUAGGGAUAAGUUUAUCAAAAUACGUGUAAGAUCUGUACUCUAAAAACCUAUAAAACUCUGUUGAGAGAAAUUAAAGAAAGCCUAAAGUAAUGGAGAAAUAUACCAUGAUCAUGGAUUGAAAGACUCAAUAUUGUUAACAUGUAAUUCUCCCCAAAUUGAUCUACAGAUUCAAUAUAAUCCCAAUUGAAAUCCAAGCAAGCUUUCUUAAAAAUAGAAAUUAACAAUCUGACUGUAAAAUGUAUGUGAAAACACAAAAGACCUAUGCUAGCUAGCCAAAACAAUUUUGAAAAAGAAUAAAGUUGGAUAACUUACACUGUACAAUUUCAAUACUUAACUAAAAAGCUACAAUAAGACAUGGAAUCGGCCAAUGUACAAUCAUAUAGUCCAAUGGAAGAGCAUAUGGAAAGUCUACAUAUAGACACAUAUGGUCAAUUGAUUGUUGGCACAAGUGCCAAGAUAAUUCUAUGGGAAAGGAUAGUCUUUUCAACUAAUCAUGCUGGGACCAUUGGAUAUCCAUAUAGAAGAAAAGAACCUCAAACCUUAUUUCACCUAUACACAAGAUUGAAUCCAAUGGAUCAUAAACCUAAAUGUAAACAGUAAAGCUUUGUUUAGAAGAAAACAAAGAAAAACUCUUCAUGACUGUGGGUUAGGCAACAGUUUUGUAGAGGAGACACACAAAGCACUAACCAACUGGAUAUUAUCAAAAUUCAAAUUUUUGCUCCUCAAAAUACACCAUUAAGAAACUAAAAAGGUAAGCCACAGACUGGGGAAAAAUACCUGCACUAUUUGCAAAAAAAUGAUAAUGACAAAAUAUGUGAACAUACACAUAAUAAAAGAAGAUACAUGUUUGGCCAAAUGCAUGUGAAAUAGUGGUCAACAUCAUUAGUCAUCAGAGAAAUGCAAAUUAAAGUACAAUUGUAUGCCUCCUAGUAGAAUGGUGAAAAUUAGACUGAUGAUUCCAGUUGUUCGGGAAGAUGUGGAGUACUGGAACUCUGAUGCCUUGUUGCUGUCUUUGUUUAGUGUUGCUAUAAUAGAAUACCCGAGGCUGGGUAUUUUACUUUAAAAAAGGUUUAUUGGGCUUAUGAUUGUGGUGGCUAGAAGAGUCAAGAUUGGGCAGCUGCAUCUGGUGAAGGCCUCAUGUUGCUUCAACUCAUGACAGAAAGCAGAAAGAGAGAGUGUGUGCAAAGAUCACAUUGUGAGAGAGGAUGCAAGAGAGAGAAGCCAAGGAAGCCAAACUUAUUUUUAAUAACUUGCUAUCAUGGGAACUAAUCCAUUCUCUUAGAGCAAGAACUACCUCACCUCUGUAGGAGGGCAUUAAUCUAUUCUUGAGAGAUCCAUCACCCUCACCCAAACACCUUCCACUAGCCUACCUAACAACACCACCACAUUGGGGAUGAAAUUUCAACAUGCAUUCCGGUAGGGACAGACCACAUCCAAACAAUUGCAGUUGGUGAAAAUGCAAAAUGUACAAGCACUUUGGAAAACAGAUUGGCAGUUUCUUAUAUAGUUAAACAUAUAUUUACCAUAUGACUCUACAUUUACACUAAAAAAUAGUUACACAACAGAAAUAAUGAGUCCACAAAAAAGUAUUCAUAGCAGCUUUAUGCAUAGUAGCCAAAAAAUGAAACAGCCCAAGAGUUCAACAACAGGUUAACUGAUAAACAAAUUGUGGUACCUAUAUUUACAUAAUAGAACACUACUUCGGUAUAAAAUAAACCAUGGAUACAUGCAAAAUGUAGAUAAAUCUCAAAUACAUUAUCCUGAGUGAAAGAAGUCAGACCCCCAAAUUACAAAUGGUAUGAUUCAACAUACAUGAAAUUCUAAAAACACAAAACUGUAGUUACAGAAAGCAAAACAGUGGUGGCUUGGGGUAUCAGAUAAGGAGGAUGGACUUGAAAAGAGCACAGGAUGGGCUUUUGGAGUGAUAAAAAUGUUCUGUAUCAUGGUUAUAGUGAUGAUUAGAUGAGUGAAUGAAUUUGCCAAAAUUCAUUUGUCUGUACACUUAAAAUGGGUAUGUAUUGUUGUAUACAAGUUAAACAUCAAUAAAAAAAUCUUAAAUUGCUGUACCAA